GUCUAUGGCCAUGCCACUCUGAACAAGCCCAAUCCUGUCUGAUCUUGGAAGCUAAGCAGGGUUGGGCCUGAUUAGUACUUGGAUGGGAGACCAACUAGGAAGACCAGGUGCUGUAGAUG
rnacentral:rRNA from 1 species